rnacentral:tRNA from 1 species
GGAAGGGUCGCAUAGUUUGGCCUAGUGCGCGCGACUGGAAAUCGCGUAGACGGUAAUGCCGUCUCGUGGGUUCGAAUCCCACCCCUUCCGCCG